CCUACGGGGGGCUGCAGUGGGGAAUAUUGGACAAUGGGGGGAACCCUGAUCCAGCCAUGCCACGUGUGUGAAGAAGGCCCUCGGGUUGUAAAGCACUUUCAGUGAGGAAGAACGCCUGGUGGUUAAUACCCAUCAGGAAAGACAUCACUCACAGAAGAAGCACCGGCUAACUCCGUGCCAGCAGCCGCGGUAAUACGGAGGGUGCGAGCGUUAAUCGGAAUUACUGGGCGUAAAGCGCGCGUAGGUGGCUUGAUAAGCCGGUUGUGAAAGCCCCGGGCUCAACCUGGGAACGGCAUCCGGAACUGUCAAGCUAGAGUGCAGGAGAGGAAGGUAGAAUUCCCGGUGUAGCGGUGAAAUGCGUAGAGAUCGGGAGGAAUACCAGUGGCGAAGGCGGCCUUCUGGACUGACACUGACACUGAGGUGCGAAAGCGUGGGUAGCAAACAGGAUUAGAUACCCGAGUAGUC
rnacentral:rRNA from 1 species